rnacentral:tRNA from 1 species
GUGGGAAUAGCUCAGUGGUAGAGUGCAUGCUUAGCAGGCACAGAGUUCUGGGUUCAAUCCCUAGUACCUCCA